GUGUCAGCCGCCGCGGUAAGACAGAGGGCGCGAGCGUUGUUCGGAAUCACUGGGCGUAAAGCGCGCGUAGGCGGAUCUGUGCGUCCGGAGUGAAAUCCCGCCGCUCAACGGCGGGGCUGCUUUGGAAACGGCAGGUCUGGGGACCGGUAGAGGUCGGUAGAAUUCCCGGUGUAGCGGUGGAAUGCGUAGAGAUCGGGAAGAAUACCCGUGGCGAAGGCGGCCGACUGGGCCGGAUCCGACGCUGAUGCGCGAAAGCGUGGGGAGCAAACAGGAUUAGAUACCCGUGUAGUCC
rnacentral:rRNA from 1 species